CAGGCGGGUGCUAUACAUGCAGUCGAGCGAACAGAGAAGGAGCUUGCUCCUUCGACGUUAGCGGCGGACGGGUGAGUAACACGUGGGCAACCUACCUUAUAGUUUGGGAUAACUCCGGGAAACCGGGGCUAAUACCGAAUAAUCUGUUUCACCUCAUGGUGAAACACUGAAAGACGGUUUCGGCUGUCGCUAUAGGAUGGGCCCGCGGCGCAUUAGCUAGUUGGUGAGGUAACGGCUCACCAAGGCGACGAUGCGUAGCCGACCUGAGAGGGUGAUCGGCCACACUGGGACUGAGACACGGCCCAGACUCCUACGGGAGGCAGCAGUAGGGAAUCUUCCACAAUGGGCGAAAGCCUGAUGGAGCAACGCCGCGUGAGUGAAGAAGGAUUUCGGUUCGUAAAACUCUGUUGUAAGGGAAGAACAAGUACAGUAGUAACUGGCUGUACCUUGACGGUACCUUAUUAGAAAGCCACGGCUAACUACGUGCCAGCAGCCGCGGUAAUACGUAGGUGGCAAGCGUUGUCCGGAAUUAUUGGGCGUAAAGCGCGCGCAGGUGGUUUCUUAAGUCUGAUGUGAAAGCCCACGGCUCAACCGUGGAGGGUCAUUGGAAACUGGGAGACUUGAGUGCAGAAGAGGAUAGUGGAAUUCCAAGUGUAGCGGUGAAAUGCGUAGAGAUUUGGAGGAACACCAGUGGCGAAGGCGACUAUCUGGUCUGUAACUGACACUGAGGCGCGAAAGCGUGGGGAGCAAACAGGAUUAGAUACCCUGGUAGUCCACGCCGUAAACGAUGAGUGCUAAGUGUUAGGGGGUUUCCGCCCCUUAGUGCUGCAGCUAACGCAUUAAGCACUCCGCCUGGGGAGUACGGUCGCAAGACUGAAACUCAAAGGAAUUGACGGGGGCCCGCACAAGCGGUGGAGCAUGUGGGUUUAAUUCGAAGCAACGCGAAGAACCUUACCAGGUCUUGACAUCCCGUUGACCACUGUAGAGAUAUGGUUUCCCCUUCGGGGGCAACGGUGACAGGUGGUGCAUGGUUGUCGUCAGCUCGUGUCGUGAGAUGUUGGGUUUA
rnacentral:rRNA from 1 species